AUGGGCCGAGAAGCCCAACCCAUCUUAUCUGACAGUUUGUCCUCUCUUGCGGCUUUACCUGCAGCUUAUAAUUUUAUUAUUGAUAAGUUUAGAGCUAAACUUAAUUGCUACAAGGCUAACAGGUUGUCUCAUGCAGGAAGACUCACUCUUAUUAAAUCUGGUUUUGCUUCCCUUCCUGUGUAUUACAUGUCUAAUAUCCUUUUAAGUAAAUCCACCAUUAAUAAACUCACUUCCAUAAUUAGAAAGUUCUGGUGGACAGGUAUUGAUAAGGAUAAUGCUUCCAAACCUAUCUGCUUUAGGGCUCGGGAUGAUAUUUGCAAACCUAUGCAUCAAGGUGGUCUAGGCAUUAGAGAUCUUUAUAUGAUGAAUAAGUCUAUGGUUGCUAUGAUGGCUUGGAGAGUUAUUAAGAGUCCUAAUUUUCUUGUUACGAAAGUUCUCAAAGCCAAAUAUUUUCAUAACUCUUCUAUUUGGAAAGUGAAUGGCAAUGUUCCUAAAUCUGCUUUCUGGUCCUCUAUUCUCAAAGUUCUUCCUUUCAUUAGCAAGGCUAGUCAUACUCAAAUUGCUAAUGGUAAUACUUGUAUUUGGACUAGUCCUUGGUGCAAUGAUUGGGACAAUAUUUAUGAUCACCUUAAACCUAAUCUAGGUAUCCCUUGUCCUAAAGUUGUUAGUGAUCUUUGGAAACCAAAUUGUAAGAGUUGGGAUGAGGAUAAAAUUAAUAUCUUUUUCGAUGAUAAUUUCAAGAGAAAUAUUUUACAAACUCCUAUCAUUAAUGCUAAUAUGGACGACACUUUAUGUUGGAUUCAUACCCCUAAUGCAGAGUGUACCACUAAAAAUGCUUAUAAAGCUUUGAUGCAGGAGGCCCAACCCAGGUUACAAUCUCAAAAUCACACUAUUUCAGAUUCUAAAAUUUCUAUUCUCAAUCAGGUUUGGAAAAGCAAAAACCUGGCUCCAAGAGUCAAAACCUUUGCAUGGAGAAUUCUAAGAAGAGCUUUAGCUUCAGGGCUUAGGGGAUCCAGGUAUUCUACUCACAUUAAAAAGGAAUGUUGCAGGUGCGGCGAGGCGGAGACAGACUUGCAUCUUUUCUUUACUUGCAAUUUCACUAGAGCUAUUUGGUUCCUAUUUGGUCUCAAGUCUGAUGAGUUCAAUCAUAACUUAUAUCCUUCUGAUGUGAUUCAAAGGAUUUUAUCUUCUCAUCAUGCUGACUUAGAUCUGGAUACCAGUUUCACGUUGCUUUGGAAUAUUUGGAAAGCGAGGAAUGAUCUUCUUUUUAAUAAGAAAAAAUGGAGUAUUAUGCAAGUUAUAUAUGCUACAAACGCUAUGCUAAAUGCGGAGUUAAUGGAGGAGAAGGCGGCGGCUCACAUCAACCCUGCAAACAAUAAUAUUUCUCCUUUUCACGUUCAAAAUAUAUAG
rnacentral:rRNA from 1 species